CAGCAUCCAAGUUGCCAUCUUGGAAGCAGAUUCCGGUUCUCACCAGACACAGAGACUAUUGGCACCUUGAUCUUGGACUUCCCAGCCUCCAGAACUGAGAGAAAGCUGACACAGUUAAACAUCAAGCAGUACCAUAUGCUCCCGGCUGGGGAGACCUGGGUUUCAUCAUUCCCUCUAAAAGGAAGCCAGUGCGAGGCUGAGAGGCCACCUGGAGAACCAAGCUGCUCCAGCUGACACGCAGCACCAACUGCCAGCCAUGAGUGAGACCAUUUUAGAUCUUCCAGCUCAGUUAAGCUCCAGCUGAAAGCAACCCGCACACAUGAGCCCUGUAUCAGAUUUUUGAGGUUUAUCCAUGUUGGUGCAGGAGGAAAAACACUGGAAUCUGCUCUUGGGAAAGUGAAAUGCUCACCCUCUGGGAAUCAAUCACAGGAAUCAGGAUCAUCCAAGGGAACAAUGGAAUCAUUAUGACCCAUUUCACACUCAUUCCAGAGCAGACACAAAGUCAGCUUCCCCUUCUCUCUCUCUCCCCUCCCCUUCUCUCUCCCCCUUCCUUAAAUGUGUGCACAUGAGCUCAUUAUACUGUAAUGCUGUCUUACAUUACAAAGCAGAAG